rnacentral:rRNA from 1 species
CGAAACAGUGAUGUGGAGUAAAACUCAAAAAGCGGUCCCAGUUCGAAUUGAAGGCUGAAAUUCGCCUUCAUGAAGUCGGAAUUGCUAGUAAUGGCAGGUCAGCAUACUGCCGUGAAUACGUUCCCGGGCCUUGUACACACCGCCCGUCACACCAUGAGAGUUGGAGAUACCCGAAGCCUGUGAGCUAACUUUAUAAGAGGCAGCAGUCGAAGGUAGAACUAAUGAUUGGGGUGAAGUCGUAACAAGGUACC